rnacentral:rRNA from 1 species
UACGUAGGGGGCAAGCGUUGUCCGGAAUCAUUGGGCGUAAAGAGCGUGUAGGCGGCCCGGUAAGUCCGCUGUGAAAGUCCAGGGCUCAACCCUGGGAUGCCGGUGGAUACUGUCGGGCUCGAGUCCGGAAGAGGAGUGUGGAAUUCCUGGUGUAGCGGUGAAAUGCGUAGAUAUCAGUCGGAACACCGGUGGCGAAGGCGGCUUCUUGGGCCUGGACUGACGCUGAGGCGCGAAAGCUGGGGGAGCGAACGGG